GAGUGUGCUGGGGGUGGGCAGAGGACUGGAGAGUACAAAAGGAGGAGGCUCCCCUUCGGAGAGCAGAGAUAAGAGGAGGCAGGGAGUGAAACUGCCCGAGGAACAGAGAGGAGAGGGGAGGAGAGGAGAGGAGAGGAGAGGAGAGGGGAGGAGAGGAGAGGAGAGGAGAGGAGAGGAGAGGAGAGGAGAGAUCAUAUCUGUAGCUAGGUCACAUCUGGACAGGACCCAAGUCCAAGGUAAAGCGAGAACAAGUGACGGAACUAAAGAAUGAAGGAGAAAUGGGUGGACAGGGCACAAAUUGGGGAAUGACAGCCUAUUCAGUGAGGAUAGGAAAUGCACAUAAAGGACAGAUGAAGAUGAUUUCUCUGUGUGUGAUUAGAAGGAUAGCAAUUACAAAGAUAAGAGUGAAAGGAGAGGGAGGAAAGGGGAAAAGGGAAUAAGUAAGAAGACAAAAUAAGCAAUGAGUGUCUAAGUACCGAUCUGAAUGCUUAGAAAAUCACCAGGCUGUUAGGCUGAGCCAAAAGAAGAGCCACAGCCGUACCCAAGAGGGGACCAUCGGAAAGACAGAAGCAGGCAAUUUAAGUAGCUAGCUACUGGGGUAAAAUGAAAAAAAAGAAAAAAUAGAAGAUGGAAAAGGUGAGAAGCAAAAGAGGGAAAACCCAAAGGAGACACUGGCCCAGAAACCUUUUUAACUUUCUGUAAGAAUCUUCAAGGCCCCAAACUAGGCCAAGAUUCUGACUGACAUUUCUGAGCUCACCAGCUGCCGCUUCCUUGAGAGAAUUCUGACAGGAAGGCAUAGAAAUGCGAGCCAACACUGCCAGCUCUGGAAAAUAAAUAAAUAAGUAAAUAACUACCCACAUCCUAAACACCUCAGUGGGGGCCGAAGCCUGCUGGGGAAGAAAGCCCAGCGAGGAGGAGGGACCCGCCUGCAACUUUUCCCCAGGCUUAGACAACUGAUGCUUGAGACACACCAAGGAACCUGCACACUAGAGGCUGCAGUCACCUCAGAAGAAAGAUGCCCCCUGCUCUGGCUGGUCAAACGGAACCAAGUCCGUCUUCCUGAGAGGUUUGGUCCCCUUCAACCAGCUACAGCAGGGCUGGCAAUGCCCAGUCCUUGGAGAAACAGAAGAGAUUCAACUGCAACUGAAAUUACCUACUAAAACUUUCCUUGAGAAAACAAUUCUGGUUUUUUCACCAUACUCUUAUGCUCCCAGGAAGGAAGAGAAGAGGAGUCCUGGAGUCAAAAGUGAGCAAGAUUUUAAUGCUCAACACACACUGUUCUGUGCCUUUGCACUCACAGCUACAGCCACUUACAUGCUUUUGACAGACACACAGUCAAGAAAGAGUUUGAGGAUGGAGUUUGUGCCAACCCUAAGCCAGCCAGGGGAAGAGCAUGAGACAUAGAAGACAGGGCUCCUGCUCACUAGGGGCUAACAGUCUAUGGAAAGAAAUUAGACAUGUAUAUAUGGCGUGAUCCAAUUGAAUUGCAAGUUAUAGCAUGGCUAGUUCCAAGGCAUAAUUCUUACCUAUCCCACCAAAUAUGCCUAGCACAUUAUGUAUCAUCAAGUCUCUAUUGAUCUAUUCAGCCCAAGAUAUCUAUUCACUAAGCAAUCAUUUCUCAGUUCCUUGAUCUGUAGAAUAGGGAUAAUAGUACCUGUCACACCAGGCACAGUGGCUUAUGCCUAAAAUCUCAGCAUUUGGGGUGGCUAAGACAGGGGAUUGCUUGAGGCCAGAAGUUCCAGAUCAGCCUGGUCAACAUAGCAAGAUGCUGUUUCUACCAAAAAAAAAUUUUUUUUGUUUUAAUUAGCUGAAUGUGGUAGUGCACACCUAUAGUCCUAGCUACUUGGGAGGCUGAGGCAGGAAGAUCACUUAAGUCCAGGAGAUGGAGGCUGUAAUGAGCUAAGUUCUCAUAAUUGCUACCUUUUACUAAGGGAGAAUUCUGACCUGUCCUUCCAGUUUAUCUUUUAAGAUUUGUAUCUUUUAUGGUGUGUGUCUGGAACUGAGAUAGUAAUAAGUAAAUAUUUGGGUUUUAAAUUCUAUAGACAUGUGUGUUCACAUGCUGUAUUCUGACACAAAUGGGGUAGCAUAAGUGCCUAGAGCCCACCACAGUGACCUCAGAGGAGAACACAGAGCUUACUUGCACAAAUUUUUGCAUUCAGGAAGACCUGGGGUUGAAUGCUGCCCCUCUAAUUUAUUAGCUGUGAUAUAUCCUCUCUGCAGCUCAGUUAACAUUGCACAAGCCUUAGUUUACUCAUCUGUAAAAUGGGGACAAUGAUACCAACCUCAGUUACCGUAAGGUUUAAAACAGACAGUGUUAAUAAAGAGCCAAAUAUAAGCCCUUAAGAAAUAGUAGCUGUUGUUUUACUGCUGUAAAUGGUGACAGCAUGAGGACAAUGCUGUGUCCACAGGCACUUGUAUGUAGAAGGAAAGAGCCAAAUUAAAAAAAAAAAUAGGAGAAGAACUCGAAAAAUACAUAAAGGCUCAUUGCUCACUGUAGGGUUUUGUUUUUUGUUGUUGUUGUUUUGUUUUGGUUUUUGUUUAUUUUUUGAGACAGGGUCUCACUCUGUUGCCCAGAUAGGAGUGCAGUGGCAUGAUUUCAGCUCACUGCAACCUCCGCCUCCCAGGCUCAAGCGAUUCUCCUGCCUCAGCCUCCCAAGUAGCUGGGAUUACAGGCACGCACCACCACCACCCGACUAAGUUUUAUAUUUUUAGUAGAGACAGGGUUUCACCAUGUUGGCCAAGCUGGUCUUGAACUCCUGACCUCAAGUGAUCCACCCGCCUUGGCCUCCCAAAGUGCUGGGAUUACAAAUGUGAGUCACUGUGCCCAGCCUAUAGGGUAUUUUUAUAUUCCAACUAUUAAUUCUACUAGCAUGUAGCAUACAUGCAUUCACCCUAGUACAUAUGACUAGUAUAUAAUAUGCUUUACUUUUUAAAAAUGCUUUAUACAUGAGACUGAUCUUACCAUCUUCAAUAUCCUGUCUGGAAAGCCUUCAUUUGUGAGUGCUGUUGAGAUCACAUGUCCUCCCGAGUAGGACAUGGAGUGUGAAGGCCAUUGAGUGGGUGUUUCAAAGGGCAGCACAGAAUGGAGUUUAGUUGAAGGUGCUGGGGACACACUACCUGGGCUCAAGUCCCAGCUCCCCACUCUCCAGCUGUGCCACUUGAGCAAGUUGCUUGACCUCUCCAGGCCUGGGUUUCCUCAUCUGUAAAGUAGGAAUAUUGAUAAUAAUAUCUACUUCAUAGAGUUUCAUGAGAAUACAUGUAAAGGCCUGAAACCAGUAUUGGGUACAUAAUAAUACAUUCUUAAGAGUCUUUAUUUCUGACAAUGUACUUGAAAUGUUCCUGAAAUUAAGUUGGUGUUCAAUAAAAACUUGUUCACUGAAA